GCUGGGAGAGCUGGGUUUGUUCAGCCUUGAGAAAAGGAGGCUCAGAAGGGAUCUCAUCACCAUGUACCAGUACUUAAGGGGCAGCUACAAAGAAGACGGAGACUCCCUUUUUACACGGAGUCCCAUGGAGAGAACAAGGGGGGAUGGACACAAGUUGCUCUUGGGGAGAUUCCGAAUGGACACGAGAGGGAAAUUUUUCACAGUGAGGACAGUCACCAUUGGAAUAAUCUCCCCAGGGAAGGGGUUGGCUCGGCCACGUUGGACACCUUCAAGAGUCGUCUGGACAGGGUGCUGGGCCAUCUUGUUUAGACUGUGCUCUUCCUAGAAAGGUUGGACUAGAUGGUCCCUGAGGUCCCUUCCCACCUGGCAUUCUGUGAUUCUGUGUGAUUAUUAGAAAUCCUUUUUACCUAAUGUAGUGCAUACCUCUGUGGUCUGCAGUGAGUUGGAAAAAACCCGGCAAGACGUCAUCCAUGAGACAGCACUUGGUGGUACAUGAGAAGAUUCAGACAAGAUCCCUGGCUGCUCAAAAGGUGUAGCUAACAACUUGCAAAAUCACCUGUGUACUGUAAGCCUUACCCAUAUUAACAAACCAGUGGGUUUGAUUUAUCUCCAGGAACCACCAUUUUGCAAUGUGCUGCCACAGCCACCUUUGGUACUUGGAAGGUGACGUCGUUUUGUCUGAUUGUCCAUGAUUUUUAUUCCUCUUUUCACACCAGUCCUUGUCUAGUGUCUCAUUCAGAAAUGAGCAGUUCCUUGAGGAUGCUUUCUUUUCCAGAGGCUCAUUCCUUCUCCUUACUUACUGGUAGAGCCCUUGCCUGAAACAUUCAGUGGUUGUUGAUAGCAGUAAUACUACCAAGAAGACACCAGAUAUAAUCUGGACUAUGAAAUUCAUUCGUUUCUGUGAAAUGAUCCGUACACACCAUUGCUGAUUUUGACUCCUAAUUUUUUCUUGUUGUUGUUUAGGACUAGAUUUAAGCCCAUAGAUGUUUUCUGUUUAUUUCCUGCUGGAGGGGGUUAGCAUUUGACUUGCUCUCUGUUUUGUUCUGCAUUUGUGAAGAUGUUUUACAGACGCUAGCUUGGUUCCACUGUAUUUACAAACUCCUCUGUUCUGCAGCCAAACACUCCACAGUCCUUGAGAGGUUAUUUUAUGAUUUAAUAUGGGUUCUCUAUGAAGAACAGAACACCUCCCCAUCCCCCAUGCUUUUCUGCUAAUGCUAUUGCCUUUCAGUGCCAUAACCUUGAAAAAAGCUGACAACACAGCAGCAAUACUACCUAGACAACUUAUCUUCUGAGCACUUCACGGUGGGCUGCCAGAUCUCGGUUGGAGAGGUAUUUAUCCAGCUCUGUUUAGAUGAGGGCAGGCUCUUGCAUACAGGCUAGCCAGCCAGCGCCCUUUAGAGAAUGGACUUUAUCAUGCUUUGUGUUUGUGGAUGUUGUGAGCUGUUGUUUCACAGUAGGUGGAAGAAAGACGUAUCCUACUCCGUUCCAGUGAGAAACACAAGACAGAAACUGAUAUCAGAGCCUGGCCCCUGUAUCUGCCACACCUUUAUUUUUCCCCUGCUGUGAUGAUGAUUUACAAAUUGUUACCUGUCUCUUGCAGGCAAUGCCAGAGCCUGCACUGGAUCAUGUGAUGAAAGACUAAUUGGGUACCUUCUGUCCCAGCAGAGUAAACCGAGAUCAUAACCUUUCAGGGAUUAGGAAUCUAAUUAUCUGGAGAAGCUGCCAUGAGAUUGAAGUAUCCUUUCUAACCUCUUAUUGCUUAGUAUUCAAAAACUGUACCAUCUCCCUGCACUGGAAGUUUCAAAAGUCACCUAAUAAAAAAGAUUAGAAGUACCCUUAAAUAGCUUCCACAAAGAUUAUUAUUAUCUAGUGAUAAUUCCAUCUCUGAGCCUGUCUUCAGUACUUUCUGGAUCCAGAUGAGCCGAAGAUAGCUCAUGGCUUUAAAAGACUACACUUAUUUACAGGCCCUCUAGGAUGAGGCAGAGAGCUUGUGGGACCAGCUGUGCACUUCAGACGCCUAGGAGGAGACUUUCCUCUUUCCUCCCCACUAUUUCAUGUUUGAUUGAUUUGUGGGACUCACCACGGCAUGACAGGACUGAGAACUAUCUAAGGAACAAAACUGAGGACGGGGUUGCAGACGCAGAUAAAAGGCAGCUACUUCAUUAUAUUGACACCAGCGAGCAUUUGAAUAAGCACUUGCCUCACAAGGUUUAAAAUGAUAAUUGGGUCAAGAAGAGGUUUGCCUGCACAGUUUAGCACAGCAAAAGCAUUCGGCACUCAUCAUUACCAACCUGUAAUAGCCAGAGUGAACAUCUCUGUCUGCAGUGGAUGAGAGAGAUGGUUUUGGUUUAUAAAACCCCUUCUGACUACAUAUGCCAGAAGAACAGAUGCCCUCAGUGAGGGGGAUUCAGAACUAUUUAUUGUCUACAGCAAUCUACUUGUUUCCAUUUACAGAAAAAGUGUGUGGCGCUCUGGGUUUCCUGUUUCUUGGGUGAGCCACAGACAGAUGAAUGGGCAGAUUUACGCAGUAUGUAAUCCAGUGGAGCAGAAUGAUGUAGAACAAGCAAGAGAAUACUUGAGAGAUUGAAGAUACAGGGAAAGAUGGCUGUGAGUGUAGGCUCAUUAUGGAGAGAGUUGCAAUGUGCUUGUUGCACUGAUUUAACGAGAGUGUUUCCUGCUGUUCCCUGAUGCAGAGAGUUUCUCUAAAGAGGAAUAAUAUUGGGAAGUAGAAGUUGCUGAGAAGGAGAAAGAUUCUGUACCCGUGUCACUGGAGAGGGGUGUGGAAAGAACCUCCAGAUAUUCCAAUGGCUUUCGGGAAGGAAAUACAACACACAGAACGUGUUUCUGCGACUGCAUGGCGGUUUGUUUUGUGCUGUGCCAUGGGGAAGAUGUCAGCUGAUUCCUUACUGCAUCCUCAUCUGGCUGUGCAAAAAUGUUAGAAAGCCCUUAUAACCCCCAGAGCUGCCCUUGCCCACCUGCUCUUCAAAUCUGUCUCCUCGAGACUCCUCUUACCAUGUUCAUUAACGCACGGACACAAAAACCAUGACAGAAGAGGCUGUCAGAAUUCAGAACGGUGCGUGUGUGUCCACACAACAACAGUACUGGCAGGAUGUCUGAAGGGUCCUUGGCAUAGUCAGCUGAAAGUUUAUUUCUGAGCAGUAAACUUUAAACUUGGAUCCAUCAGGAAAAAUUGGAAAGGUCUUGCAUCUUUCUCGGUGCAGUCUUUGGUCAUUGUCAGAAAGCCAUAAUUGCUUGAUGUGUUUUCUGUCACCUGUCAGAACAGUUGCAAGUCUAUCUUUUAAUAAUGAGUACUUUCUGUUGCAUGAUCUCUAUGUGCGUGAGGUAAAUAAACCCUCUACUGCGAGGGAAUGAUACAUUUUAUACCUGGUUUAUGGGUGGGGAAAUAAAGGCAAGAAAAGCUACACAAGAUACAUGUGAGGAAUCUGUCUACAGUCUCCUGACAUCAUAAAUGCUAAAGUCAUCCCUCCCUCUCCACAUUCUGGAGAUGAAGGAACCAGUUAUUGAUGAAAACUCUUUGUUUUAAUGGCCAUUUCCUCUCUAUCACUCUUUUGGGGAGGGGGUCUUUUUUAUUUGCUUUCCACUUAUUUAUCCUCACUUUAAA